AACGAACGCUGGCGGCGUGCCUAACACAUGCAAGUCGAACGAGAUCUUCGGGUCUAGUGGCGCACGGGUGCGUAACGUGUGGGAAUCUGCCAUUUGGAUCGGAAUAACAGUGGGAAACGACUGCUAAUACCGGAUGAUGACGAAAGUCCACAGAUUUAUCGCCAGAGGAUGAGCCCGCGUAGGAUUAGCUAGUUGGUGUGGUAAAGGCGUACCAAGGCGAAGAGCCGUAGCUGGCAUGCGAGGAUGAUCAGCCACACUGGGACUGAGACACGGCGCAGACUCCUACGGGAGGCCGCAGUGGGGAAUUUUGGACAAUGCGCGAAAGGCUGAUCCAGCUAUUCCGCGUGAGUGUUGAAGGCUUUAGGGUUGUAAAGCUCUUUUACCCCGGGUGAUAAUGACAGUACCGGAUGAAUAAGCUCCGGCUAACUCCGUGCCAGCCGCCGCUGUAACAC
rnacentral:rRNA from 1 species